rnacentral:rRNA from 1 species
UAGGGAAUCUUCCGCAAUGGGCGAAAGCCUGACGGAGCAACGCCGCGUGAGUGAUGAAGGUCUUCGGAUCGUAAAACUCUGUUAUUAGGGAAGAACAAAUGUGUAAGUAACUAUGCACGUCUUGACGGUACCUAAUCAGAAAGCCACCGCUAACUACGUGCCAGCAGCCGCGGUAAUACGUAGGUGGCAAGCGUUAUCCGGAAUUAUUGGGCGUAAAGCGCGCGUAGGCGGUUUUUUAAGUCUGAUGUGAAAGCCCACGGCUCAACCGUGGAGGGUCAUUGGAAACUGGAAAACUUGAGUGCAGAAGAGGAAAGUGGAAUUCCAUGUGUAGCGGUGAAAUGCGCAGAGAUAUGGAGGAACACCAGUGGCGAAGGCGACUUUCUGGUCUGUAACUGACGCUGAUGUGCGAAAGCGUGGGGAUCAAACAGG